rnacentral:lncRNA from 1 species
AGUAUCCUCCUUUGACAGACGAGGAAAUGAAGCACAGAGAAGGUAAGAAACUUGCCCAGGACACGCAGCUCUAGAGCUGGGAUAUCUAUAAGCUUGGCAGUCAGAAUCAGAGCCCAGCCAUUCUCUUUUCUGUCUCAAAAUAAAUGUGAAGGCUUAUCGGGGUAGGGAGAGGGGAGUGGGAGAGGGAUGCUAGUGAUCGACAUGGAAUUUUUUUAAAAAACAGUUUUCCAGAGUUUAAAUCAAACUUAUUGCAGGAACAACAAAACACUUGGAUAGUUGGAUUCCUGGUAAGAAUGUGAAUAUUCUUGUGCAGGAUAAAAUGCUUUAUUUUCUAAAGGUUUAUAAUCUCUGCAGAAGUUUCUAAUUCAACAGUUCCUUUGGGAAGGUGCAUAGCAAAGAUGCCUUAUUCAUCAGCACAGCAAUAGAUCUAACGUUCCCGCCAGGGGUACUGGUCAGCGUUGGUUCUUUAGAAAGCCUGUGUAGAAUCGAUUAAAAAUUGCUCAGCACUUACUACAGCCAUUUUCAACCAAGAAAAAAAUAAUUUUCGGGACUCACUUAUAUUCCACAGUUUAAAUAUGGACAAUUAAUAGGUCAAGGUCCAGGCUGGAAGGGGACCACUUCGAAUCUUGAAUGCAGGGGCAAACAGCUCAAGACACCAUGGCUGAUGAAGACGCUAUGUACACGCUUUCCAGUAUGAAAACCAAUGAGCUACAUGGGGCUGGCGAACACUUGAAAGGUGGUGAGUUAGAGUUGAGAUGUGCUGGACGUGUAAAAUAAUACAUCCUGGAGUUUGAAGACUUUUGUAUAAAAUUACUUAAGAUAUCUGAAUUUUUCAAAUGUCGAUUUUUUGUUGAAAUGAUAUUUGAACAGAUUGGAUUAAAUAAAAUGUAUUAUUAAAAUUAAUUUCACCCAUUGCUUUUUCCUUUAUUUAAUGUGGGCUACUUGGAAAUGUAAAAUUACACAUGUAGCCCUCAUUCUAUUUAUUUCUAUCGGACAAUACUGCUCCAGGGGUAGAGGAACAAAAGAAUCCCAAAGAUGAUGUCCCCUUGAGUGAACAAGAAAUCAAAAUAUCCUGGGAGAAGAUAAUAUCACAGACAUUUAUUUAUGUAGCUGACAGUUUCUCAAGACUUUGUACCAGGAACUUUGUUAGUCAUUGAGGUUAACAGUGAUUCAGAGAUUUGCGUUUUUUUCUAGAAAAGCUGAAGGCAUCAAGUAAAGGAAGAAGUCUGGGAGGUGAAAAUUUGAUCUAAGCAAGCAAAAACAUGGUCUGAGAGAUUGUGAUCUUAAUUUUAGUACCAGCUCUGCCACGUACAGGUGAUCAAACAUGAACAAACUACUUUAACCUCUUUGAGUCUUAGCAGAAUCACCGGUUAGCACAAGUUUAUCUCCUUCUGCUUCUAAAUGUUAGGAGAAAUUCUACUCUGGAAAAACCCAGCCACUUCGCCUUCUCUGAACCUGCCCCUUUGUUGGAGAAAAUCAUACUCCUGAGCAGGCUGACUCCGUCAAAUUCAAAUGGACUUUCAGCUCUGCUCCACAGUCUGACUGCUUUUCACGAGUCACCUUGCUUUCUCUAAGAUAAUUAUCUCAUAGAUCUUCCUUUUUCCUCGAAGGCACUUGUUGCUUUCUCUUUUCCUUCCUCCAGCCAUCAAACUCCAUGGGGGACACAUGCAGUCUAAGGGAAGCGCCUUUGUGUGCCCAUCACCAAAGCUCCACACCCAUCCCCAUCAGCAACUGUCUUGCCCUACUCCCUUCCGGUUAAACUGUGGAAGCUCCAGGGACCAGUCUCCACCAGAGCUCAGGCCCUCUUCGCUUCCUGCCAACAGACUUGACUGUUUUGUUUAUCUGUCUCUCCAGCUUUAUCCAUCUCUCCCUGGCCACGGGAGCACUUGCCAUCCUUGGGGUCUCAUUUCCCAGCCACUGUUCUCUGUCCAUCAUCUCCUUCAUGGUUCACCUUCUUCAUAAUAUCAACUUACAGGUUGUUUUCAUGUCAUCACCUCAGUCACCCUUCUGCAGGUCAAUCAGACUAAUGCCUCCAAGAUGCCCCUGACAUUUCUCUGAUUUAAGCCUGUGAAGAUCUGCACGUGGGCCUCAAUUUCAACACCUCAACUGCACAGAACACAACCCACCUCUUCUUCUUCUGGUUUCUGUAACUUCAUAGACUCUGGGUGUAGGAGGAGCGGUCUCUGAGCCCAGUUUCUCAAUGUCUAUCUCUGUCCUUUAUCUUCUACCUAACAUCUCAUUUUAGAUUCCUUUGUAGUCAGUCCUGAACUUUCUCUAUUUCCUCACUAGGCAAUCUCUUCAGCAACUUUAAAAUCUACCUAUAUGAUGGUCACUGUCAAAUUUAUAGGGUUGGGCCCUUGUCCCAGAGGAAUUCCAAGCUCAUGUGAAAUUGUCUAUUUGAUGCUUCAACUUGGAUGUCCACCUCUCCGACUCAACAUGUCCAAACUGGAAAAAUUCAUCUCUCCUUCCAGUCUUCUUCACUCCGUCGUGGCUCUGUUAUCUACCACACUGCUCGGCCUCGGGCAGAAGCCAGAACCUGCGGCAUCAUCCUUAUAUCCACCUCUUUCAUCUAAUCUUUUGGCAAAUCCAGUCAUUUCUAACAUCAAAAUCACCUGAGAACCUGCCCCUUUGCUCCACCUCUGCUGACGUCUCACUGGUAUAAACCACCAACCUCCCCGCUUGGAGGAUUCCUUCCAUCUCCUCUGGUUUCACUUUCACAUCUCAACGCACUAUUUCUACUACAGCAUCCCAAAGUGGGCUUUCUACUACAAGUUGCACAAAAUACAAUCAUUUUUCCAGGCUCCAAAGAAACCCCGCAUGACCCAGGCCUUGGUGCCUUCCCCAGUGUGGGCUUCCAGUCUGCGCAGCCCUUGCAGCUGUCACCACACUGGUCCCAUUUCAGUUCCUGGAACACAUUGGACUCUCCCUCAGCAGGGUCUUCCAGCCUGUAAGGAGCUUCCUUCCUCCUGCUCUUCACCUAACCAGCUCUGUCACUCUUCAGCUGUCAGUUUCAAUGUUCCCUCCGUUGGGGAGAUUCCCGGACCACAGAGUCUCAGUAGGCCACAUGCUUACUCUCCACCUUGCACCUUGUUCACUAUCUUUGUAGCACUUAAUAUAAAUCGAAGCCAUACAUAGCUGUUUAUUAUCUGUUUCUCCAACUUCGCAGGACCACGUCUGUUUUGUGUUAUGCUGUCAUUGGAAGAAUGCGGUAUCUUCCAUGAAUCAGAUACCCAGUGAGGAUUUGUGGAAUGAAAAAGGAAACGGUGGGAGAAGGAAGUCAAAAGAUUUCAUAAUGAGUGACAGAGUGGAGUAAUAGACAUUGGAGACUACAGAUGGCAGGAUGGGAGGGAGGGAGGAUUGAAAAUUACCUAUUGGGUGUAAUAUUCACUCUUCGGAUGGUGGGUUCACUAGAAGCCCAGACUUCCCCACCAGGUAAUAUAGGCAUAGAAGAAAUCUGUACUUGUAGGCCAGGUGUGGUGGCUCAUGCCUAUAAUCCCAGCACUUUGGAAGGCCAAGACAGGUGAAUCACCUGAGGUCAGGAGUUUGAGACCAGCCUGGCCAACAUGGUGAAACCGCAUCUCUACUAAAAAUACGAAAAUUAGCCAGGCGUGGUGGCAUAUGCCCGUAAUCCCAGCUACUCAGGAGGCUGAGGCAGGAGAAUCUCUUGAUCCUGGAAGGUGGAAGUUGCAGUGAACCAAGAUGACACCACUGCACUCCAGCCUGGGUAAACAGAGUAAGAUUCCAUCUCA